rnacentral:rRNA from 1 species
UACAGAGAGUGCAAGCGUUAAUCAGAAUUACUGGGCGUAAAGCGCACGUAGGUGGAUACUUAAGUCAGAUGUGAAAGUCCCGGGCUUAACCUGGGAAUUGCACCCGAUACUGGGUAUCUAGAGUAUAGUAGAGGGAAGUGGAAUUUCCGGUGUAGCGGUGAAAUGCGUAGAUAUCGGAAGGAACACCAGUGGCGAAGGCGGCUUCCUGGACUAAUACUGACACUGAGGUGCGAAAGCGUGGGGAGCAAACAGG